rnacentral:piRNA from 1 species
UGAAGGCAGAACAGGAACGGCAG